rnacentral:rRNA from 1 species
AACCUCCGCAAUGUGAGAAAUCGCGACGGGGGGAUCCCAAGUGCCAUUCUUAACGGGAUGGCUUUUCAUUAGUGUAAAGAGCUUUUGGAAUAAGAGCUGGGCAAGACCGGUGCCAGCCGCCGCGGUAACACCGGCAGCUCUAGUGGUAGCAAUUUUUAUUGGGCCUAAAGCGUCCGUAGCCGGUUUAAUAAGUCUCUGGUGAAAUCCUGUAGCUUAACUGUGGGAAUUGCUGGAGAUACUAUUAGACUUGAGACCGGGAGAGGUUAGAGGUACUCCCAGGGUAGAGGUGAAAUUCUGUAAUCCUGGGAGGACCGCCUGUUGCGAAGGCGUCUAACUGGAACGGUUCUGACGGUGAGGGACGAAAGUUAGGGGCGCGAACCGGAUUAGAUACCCGGGUAGUCCUAACUGUAAACGAUGCGGACUUGGUGUUGGGGUGGCUUUGAGCUGCUCCAGUGCCGAAGGGAAGCUGUUAAGUCCGCCGCCUGGGAAGUACGGUCGUAAGACUGAAACUUAAAGGAAUU